rnacentral:rRNA from 1 species
UACGUAGGGGGCAAGCGUUGUCCGGAUUUAUUGGGUUUAAAGGGUGCGUAGGCGGCCUUAUAAGUCAGUGCUGAAAUAUCCCGGCUUAACCGGGAGGGUGGCAUUGAUACUGUAGGGCUUGAGUAAAGUUGAGGUUGGCGGAAUUGACGGUGUAGCGGUGAAAUGCUUAGAUAUCGUCAAGAACACCUAUUGCGAAGGCAGCUAACUAAGCUUUAACUGACGCUGAUGCACGAAAGUGUGGGGAUCAAACAGG